GAUGAACGCUGGCGGCGUGCCUAAUACAUGCAAGUCGAGCGAACGGACGAGAAGCUUGCUUUUCUGAUGUUAGCGGCGGACGGGUGAGUAACACGUGGAUAACCUACCUAUAAGACUGGGAUAACUUCGGGAAACCGGAGCUAAUACCGGAUAAUAUUUUGAACCGCAUGGUUCAAAAGUGAAAGACGGUCUUGCUGUCACUUAUAGAUGGAUCCGCGCUGCAUUAGCUAGUUGGUAAGGUAACGGCUUACCAAGGCAACGAUGCAUAGCCGACCUGAGAGGGUGAUCGGCAACACUGGAACUGAGACACGGUCCAGACUCCUACGGGAGGCAGAAGUAGGGAAUCUUCCGCAAUGGGCGGAAGCCUGACGGAGCAACGCCGCGUGAGUGAUGAAGGUCUUCGGAUCGUAAAACUCUGUUAUUAGGGAAGAACAUAUGUGUAAGUAACUGUGCACAUCUUGACGGUACCUAAUCAGAAAGCCACGGCUAACUACGUG
rnacentral:rRNA from 1 species